GAUGAACGCUGGCGGCGUGCCUAAUACAUGCAAGUCGAGCGAACAGACGAGGAGCUUGCUCCUCUGACGUUAGCGGCGGACGGGUGAGUAACACGUGGAUAACCUACCUAUAAGACUGGGAUAACUUCGGGAAACCGGAGCUAAUACCGGAUAAUAUAUUGAACCGCAUGGUUCAAUAGUGAAAGACGGUUUUGCUGUCACUUAUAGAGGGUUCCGCGCCGCAUUAGCUAGUUGGGAAGGUAACGGCUUACCAAGGCAACGAUGCGUAGCCGACCUGAGAGGGUGAUCGGCCACACUGGAGCUGAAACGCGGUCCAGACUCCUACGGGAGGCCGCAGUAGGGAAUGGUCCGCAAUGGGCGAAAGCCUGACGCAGCAACGCCGCGCGAGUGAUGAAGGUCUUCGGAUCGUAAAACUCUGUUAUUAGGGAAGAACAAAUGUGUAAGUAACUAUGCACGUAUUGACGGUACCUAAUCAGAAAGCAACGGCUAACUACGUG
rnacentral:rRNA from 1 species